rnacentral:rRNA from 1 species
GCCCGACUUCCGGAAGGGCCGUAUUUAUUAGAUAACAGACCAAUAUUCCUCGUGUCUAUUGUGGUGAAUCAUAGUAACUAAACGGAUCGAGGGCUUGCCCUCGACAAACCAUUCAAGUUUCUGCCCCAUCAGCUUUCGAUGGUAGUGUAUUGGACUACCAUGGCUUUUACGGGUAACGGAGGAUUAGGGUUCGAUUCCGGAGAGGGAGCCUGAGAAACGGCUACCACAUCUAAGGGAGGCAGCAGGCGCGUAAAUUACCCAAUACUAAUUCAGUGAGGUAGUGACAAGAAAUAACGGGCCGGGA